UACGGGGGGGGCAAGCGUUGUUCGGAAUUACUGGGCGUAAAGGGCUCGUAGGCGGCCAACUAAGUCGGAUGUGAAAUCCCCAGGCUUAACCUGGGAACUGCAUCCGAUACUGGAUGGCUUGAAUCCGGGAGAGGGAUGCGGAAUUCCAGGUGUAGCGGUGAAAUGCGUAGAUAUCUGGAGGAACACCGGCGGCGAAGGCGGCAUCCUGGACCGGCAUUGACGCUGAGGAGCGAAAGCCAGGGGAGCAAACGGG
rnacentral:rRNA from 1 species